CCUACGGGAGGCAGCAGUCGGGAAUAUUGCGCAAUGGAGGAAACUCUGACGCAGCGACGCCGCGUGCAGGAUGAAGGUUUUCGGAUUGUAAACUGCUUUAGACAGGGAAGAAAAAAGACAGUACCUGUAGAAUAAGCUCCGGCUAACUACGUGCCAGCAGCCGCGGUAAGACGUAGGGUGCAAGCGUUUUCCGGAUUUAUGGGGUGUAAGGGGUGCGUAGACGGGAAAGCAAGUUAGUUGUGAAAUCCCUCGGCUUAACUGAGGAACUGCAACUAAAACUACUUACCUUGAGUGCGGGAGAGGUAAGGGGAAUUCCUGGUGUAGCGGUGAAAUGCGUAGAUAUUAGGAGGAACACCAGUGGCGAAGGCGACUUUCUGGACAGUAACUGACGUUGAGGCACGAAAGUGUGGGGAGCAAACAGGAUUAGAUACCCUAGUAGUC
rnacentral:rRNA from 1 species